rnacentral:rRNA from 1 species
AUCCUGGCUCAGGACGAACGCUGGCGGCGUGCCUAAUACAUGCAAGUCGAGCGAACAGAGAAGGAGCUUGCUCCUUUGACGUUAGCGGCGGACGGGUGAGUAACACGUGGGCAACCUACCCUAUAGUUUGGGAUAACUCCGGGAAACCGGGGCUAAUACCGAAUAAUCUUUUGUCCCUCAUGGGACAAUACUGAAAGACGGUUUCGGCUGUCGCUAUAGGAUGGGCCCGCGGCGCAUUAGCUAGUUGGUGAGGUAACGGCUCACCAAGGCAACGAUGCGUAGCCGACCUGAGAGGGUGAUCGGCCACACUGGGACUGAGACACGGCCCAGACUCCUACGGGAGGCAGCAGUAGGGAAUCUUCCACAAUGGGCGAAAGCCUGAUGGAGCAACGCCGCGUGAGUGAAGAAGGAUUUCGGUUCGUAAAACUCUGUUGUAAGGGAAGAACAAGUACAGUAGUAACUGGCUGUACCUUGACGGUACCUUAUUAGAAAGCCACGGCUAACUACGUGCCAGCA